AAGAUUCGACCUUUGGGUCUAUCUUCUCUUCAGCUGUGCGCUUAGGCUGCACGCUGUUGAAUUUCACACACCUGUGCACACUUCGGUUGUGACUAGUUAACUCUGGUCGCAUCCGCUUUUACAUUUAACAACCAAGUCUAGAAUGUCAAAUACAAUAAAAUAA
rnacentral:misc_RNA from 1 species